CAAUCACUGAGUCCAACUGUUGGCUCCACAGUGUUUUAUAAAUGCUCCUUGAACUCUGUCAGCUUGGUGCUGUGACCACUGCCCUGGGCAACCUACUCCAUGCCCACCACCCUCUGGUGCAGUCCUUUCCCCUAACCACAUACCACUUUCACAGUCCUCCUUUGAGUGCCCUCUUUAGUCCUUACACUGUGGUACCCAAAACAGCACAGUACUCAAAAUUGCUUUCAUAAUGUUCUCUGGUAAUGGUAUGGCCUUUGCCUCAACUGCGGUACAUUACAAAUGAUGGCAGCCUUUUUUCCUCUAUGUUAACAGCCCAUGUCUGCCCACUGACAUACUGCCAGCACUCAGCCACACUUCUUCACUCAUUUGCCGUGCUGCCUCUCAGUACUGGUGGGAGUCAUCUGCAGCUGUCUCUGCACAUUGGCUAGACCUUGGUCUGUCACUGAUCCCAAAUUAAUUAUAGCUAUGGUAGAGUGGUUGAUAUUUGGUUAAACUAAAGCUGCCUAUUAGAAACUGUCAGGAAGUGUUAAAUUAUGCCUAAGCCUUAGCUGGGAGGAUGCUGAUACCCAGAGGCCAGAACUGUGCUUGGGAACAUGCUAAAAAGGGAGAGUGUACACAGCUGUAAGCCUGUACCUUGACUCUGUUUUAUCUAAUAAUGCAGGGAUGGCUCAUAUUCCUGAAAUUAGUCUGAUUCUUUGUUAAAGGAAAUAUUUGUAAAUAUACUGAAUAGUAAUGUUAAAACAAUAUAUUUUUUUUCCAAGUGCCCCCUCUACACUCACCUUUAAAACAGUUCAUUUCCUUCUUCUUUGUUACCUGCAUUGUACUGCCUGUUAGCCCCUGAUGUGUUUGUGUGGGACUGGGGGGGAAUGCAAAAAAAGUCUGAAGCUGAAACGGUUGUUUCAUUCAUCUGUCUCAUGGCAAAGCAGAAAGAUGAAUGAAUGGAUUGUUGCAUAACUCAUAGCUGAAAUAACUAAGAAAUGCUUUGCUGAAAUUCUGAAGAUAUACGAAGAAAAUUUCCUUAAAAAAAAAAAAUACAGUUAAGACCAUUUAUAAACACAGAGCAUAGAGAAGAGUAGCCUUCAAGGCUCUUAAGAAAAUUCUGUUUUUGCACUUAUUUUUUUUUAAUUAUGGUUUUGUUUUUCCAUCAAUUACCCUUAAUAAAUGAGUCAACGUUUUUGUGGGUAGUAGCACUGACUAUAUAAGCUGCCCAAAAUUACUCAUGUCAAGCAGUUACCUAUUUUGACAUUGCAUAGUUCCUUUUUUUCUUUCUGUUUGUGCUGGUGCAUAGUGUUCUGAUGUGAUGCUCAGGCUUCUCAAUGACAUGAACAGGCUGCGGAGGCUGCUCCUGUGGGAAGCAAAAGCUAUUCCACAUUGUUACCAGUGUUGAGGUGUUCCUGCCUGUCAAAAAAUGUUAUUUGAAAGCCAUCCUACCAGUUUUGGUUUUAACAGUGAACCAGUAGAACGCCAAACAAUAAAACCAAGAAGAAUUACAAAGUAUAUGUAAAUGGUAUUUCCACUUUUAAGAAAAUUGAACACAAAUUUGUAACUGGAACACAAACCUAUGGACGAAAAGAUUAUUCAUAUUAAAGCUCAUGGCUGUUUUACUAUGUGAUAUGAAACUGCUGGCCUACACUAAACACAAUACUACAUAUCACUGUACUAAAAAACUAAGUUUAAGCAUCAGCAGUAUGCUUCUUCUGUGGCUUAACCCAAAGUAAUACUGAAAUUCCAAUAUCCUAAUCCUAUCCUUAAAUAGUAAAACAAGCUCCUUCCUUCCUUCCUUCCUUCCUUCCUUCCUUCCUUCCUUCCUUCCUUCCUUCCUUCCUUCCUUCCUUCCUUCCUUCCUUCCUUCCUUCCUUCCUUCCUUCCUUCCUUCCUUCCUUCCUUCCUUCCUUCCAGACCACGUGCAAUUUUUGUUUGUCAAUACUUUUUUCUGUUUAAAAUUUAAACAAUAUCAAAAUAAGAUAAACUAUAAGCUAACAAAGAUGCUUUGGUGUCUUCAGUAUUUUAUCACUCCACUGCCUUCAUGUGAUAACAAGCAGCAUCAUGGAAAGCAGAAAUGGUGAAGGCUGGUUUUCUAUAGUCUCACUUUCUCUGUUUGAUCUGCUCAUGUCAAAUAAGCAGUGAGUUCUGGCUGCAGUGUUUCCAUGGCUGAAAAUUUCAGAACAUUCCUCAUGGGAAUGGAUUUCUGGCUAUUUUGUGAGAGCUGAGAUCAGACUACAUUGUCUCAGUGAAGAUACUAAGAAAGAAAUCUUCCUCCAACUGGAUGUCAUUUUUUUUAAGCAUUAGAAAAUCAAUACACUGGGACUUGUUCUAUCAACUCAGAUUGUGUACAAUAUCAGCAGAAGUUGCAGAACAUGUACAAAUGCACAUACACUAUAUAUACAUAAAAUAUAAUUUCAUAAGCCUUGUUUAUUUGGGAUAAAAAGGAAUUACUGCUUUCCAGAAGAAAGGAGAAUAAUUCAAGAAGAUUAAGAAGAAAAAAAGAAAAAGGUUAAACAGCUUCACUCAUCCUCUUGCUGUUGCUUAUGUGCACUGUUCCAUAUAUACAACUAAGGAUUAAGUCUUUGAAUUUCAUCACAUUCAAAGACAUCUAAAGCAAA
ensembl:lncRNA